UACGAAGGGGGGCUAGCGUUGCUCGGAAUCACUGGGCGUAAAGGGUGCGUAGGCGGGUUUUUAAGUCAGGGGUGAAAUCCUGGAGCUCAACUCCAGAACUGCCUUUGAUACUGAAGAUCUUGAGUCCGGGAGAGGUGAGUGGAACUGCGAGUGUAGAGGUGAAAGUUCGUAGAUAUUCGCAAGAACACCAGUGGCGAAGGCGGCUCACUGGCCCGGUACUGACGCUGAGGUGCGGAAAGCGUGGGGAGCAAACAGG
rnacentral:rRNA from 1 species